AGUGAAGCCGGAUAGGGAGUUUGGGGACCAUCUAAAAUAGAGUGGUGAAGGAAGGCCUCACUGAGAAGGUAACAUUUGAGUAAAAUCCUAAAGAAAGCAAGGAAGCAAGCCGUAGAGAUAUUUGGUGGAAGGGCGUCUUAGGUAAAGGGAACAACAGAUGCAAGGGCCCUGAAAUGGGAGCAUAAAUUAUGUAUUUAAGAAACAGCAAGGAAGCUACUGUGGCUAAAGCUGAAUGAGAAAAGUGAGGGUCAUAAGAGAUGAGAUCUGAGCAGUAAGAUGGGGAGAGAGUAUGUGUGUGUGUGUGUGUGUGUGCAUGUGUGCAAAAUGUAAGGCGUUGUGGACCAUUAUAAUGAUUUUUUUCUCUUGGUGAGGUGGUAUUUUUCCAUUUGAGGAAAGGAAAAUUUGGACAAAGGAAUAACACAAUCUGACUUACUGCUUUAAAAGGCGCACUCUUGGGGACAAGAGCAGGAGUAAACUGAGUGGCUUUCAGAAUAACCUGGACAAGAGAUGAUAGUGGCUUGGACUAUGAUAGCGAUGGAGGUGGUAAAAAGUGAUUAGAGAUAAUUAAAAGAUAACCCAUGAGUAAUUAUGACCCAACUAAGCUUGGGUAACAUUCAUUGGGUAGUUAUUGAUUAACUUUUGUUUUCCUACUCUAGAGGAACUUUCUCCAGUAAUGCUUAGGAGCUGAGGCUGUGUUGGAGAAUGCAAAGGUGACCACCCCAUUGGUGGGGAUUAGUAUGGCUGUAACAGUAAAUGGGCAAAGAUGAUCAUGGCUUGGGCCAAGGUGGUACUAGUAAAGGUGGUGAGAAGUCUCCAGACUCUGGAUUUAUUUUGAAAAUAAAACCAAGAUUUGUUGAUAAAUUGGGCAUGGAAUGCAAGCAAAAGUGAGAAAUCAGGGUGACUGUAGUUUUUUGUCCCCUUUUUUUUGUUAUUGUUGGAGUUUACGUUAGUGAUAAUGACAAGACUUCAAGAAGACCAAUUUUGUGGGAAAUAUCAGGAGCUCAUUUUGAACCUGGUGAGUUCGAGAUGCCUUUGAUACAUCUAAAUGUAGAUGCCAAGUUGGCAACUGGAUAUAUGAGCUUAGAGCUCAGGAGAGUUUAAAGAAAAUUUUAUUAGUUAACAUUGUUGAGGUAACUAACAAGCACCAAAUCUCAGUGGAUUACAGCAACAAACGUUCAUUUCUUGCUCUUGCUACAUAUGGGCUACAGAUUGAUUACAGCUCUGCUCUAGGUUGUGGGCCAGCAGAUAGAUCGGAUUCAAGUGUCUUCUAAUCUUGGGCCUAGGCUAAAAGAACAGCCGCUGUCUGUGCUAUACUCAUGGCAAAGGGCAGAAGCAAGAGAGGCCAAACUAAUCCAUUCAAUCCAAUUUAAAGAUUCUCCUUGCAUAUGGCAUACACCACGUAUUUCCAUUCUAUUCCAUUCCACCAGCCAAAAAAAGUCACAUAGCUCAGCCCUGCAAUGUGGCAAAAAAUGUAUACUCUGCUCAGCAGAGGCAUUUAAAGACAAAUCCAAAGGGUGCAGAUGUAUAAUAUUCAUAGAAGGGAGAAAGCAGGUAGUUGUAAACCAUAAUUUAAUCUACCACAAAGUGAGUAUAGAUAGUGAAGAGAAGAAGUCCAAAGCCUGAGAUAUUUCAACAUUCAGAGGUCAGGGAGAUAAGGAGAAACCAACAAAGGAGACUGAGAAGGAAGAGAUAGUAAGGUAGGGAGAAACAUUGGAAGUCAAGAAAAGAAAGUGUCUCAAGAAGAAAGGAUGGAUCAGCUGUGUCCCAUGCUGCUAAUAGGUCAAGCAAGAUGUGGGCUGACAUUGACCAUUACAUUUAGCAAUGUGGAAAUAUUGGGUGAUAGUGACAACAGAGUUAAUGGCAUGGUGAGGGAUGCUAUGGUUUGAAUGUUUGUCCCCUCCCACACAAGUUGAAAUUUAAUUGCUAUUGUGACAGUAUUAAAAGGUGGGAUAUUUAAGAGGUGAUUAGGUCAUGAGCACUCUACCCUCAUGAAUGGAUUAAUGCCGUUAUCUCAGAAAUAGAAUUGUUAUCGUUGGAGUAGAAUCCUUAUAAAAGGAUGAGUUCAGCCCUGUUUUGUCUCUCUCACCCUCGCUUUGCCCUUCCGCCAUGGGAUGCUGUCCACCAUGGGAUGAUGCAGCAAGAAGGCCCUGGCAAGAUGCACUUUUCAAUCUUGGACUUCCCAACCUCCAGAAGUGUGAGCCAAUAAAUCUCUGAGAUGGGUUUUCAUCAUGUUGUCCAGGCUAGUCUCAAACUCCUGAGCUCAAGCAAUCUGCCUGCCUCAGCCUCCCCAAGUGCUAGGAUUAAAGGGUUCUGUUCUAUGUCAUUUCCUUUGAAGUCAGUGGGAGCUCUGUGCAGGACGGCAACAUGAACACCGGCCUCUAUACAUGAAGGCCAUCAAGUGGUUAACAUAUAGACAGUAUUUAAAUCCUUGGGACUGGAUGGGAUUACCAAGGGAGGAAAUGUAGAUGAAGGAGAAGAGAAAGGACUGAAUUCUGGAGCACUACAAAUUUAAGAGACUGGGGAGAAGAGGA